rnacentral:rRNA from 1 species
CAUGCCGUAAACGUUGAUAACUUGGUUUUCCAGUUUUGGGGAGCCGAAGCUAACGCAUUAAGUUAUCCGCCUGGGAAGUACGCUCGCAAGAGUGAAACUUAAAGGAAUUGACGGGACCCCGCACAAGCAGUGGAGCAUGUGGUUUAAUUCGACGCUACGCGAAGAACCUUACCAGAGCUUGACAUGGAACUAAAGGCCUUAGAAAUAAGGAGAUAGUUAUAGUUCACACAGGUGG